rnacentral:rRNA from 1 species
CUUUCCUACGGGAGGCAGCAGUGAGGAAUAUUGGUCAAUGGUCGGGAGACUGAACCAGCCAAGCCGCGUGAGGGAUGAAGGUACAGAGUAUCGUAAACCUCUUUUGUCGGAGAACAAAACCCGGGACGUGUCCCGGACUGCGUGUAUUCGAAGAAAAAGCAUCGGCUAACUCCGUGCCAGCAGCCGCGGUAAUACGGAGGAUGCGAGCGUUAUCCGGAUUUAUUGGGUUUAAAGGGUGCGUAGGCGGUCCGUGAAGUCAGCGGUAAAAUUGCGGGGCUCAACCCCGUCGAGCCGUUGAAACUGGG